UCUUUCUCCUGUUUCUUCUUCCGCCAUUGUUUUUC
rnacentral:sRNA from 1 species